AGAAUCAACGCUGGCGGCGUGCCUAACACAUGCAAGUCGAACGAGAAAGUGGGAGCAAUCCCACGAGUAAAGUGGCGCACGGGUGAGCAACACGUGACUAACCUACCCUUGAGUGGGGGAUAACCUAGGGAAACCUGGGCUAAUACCGCAUAAUACCUACGGGUCAAAGGAGCAAUUCGCUUUAGGAGGGGGUCGCGGCAGAUUAGUUAGUUGGCGGGGUAAUGGCCCACCAAGACAGUGAUCUGUA
rnacentral:rRNA from 1 species